rnacentral:lncRNA from 1 species
UUAUAUUUAUAUACAGGGUCUCUUUUCUUUACUGAUGUAUUUUCCUACUCAUAGCCAACCAAUAAAUUAAAUUAUCUGUUUCAAAUAUUUUUAAAGUGUAAUUUGUAUAGCUGUAGUACUGAGGUUUGAGGAGAUACACGUUAAUCAGCAGACCACCUGUUUAAAAUUCUGAGUUCUCUGGAACAGAGUUGUAACUCUUUGAAAGGGAAGAGUGAACAGGGCCCGAGACGUGAGGAGAUGGUGUGAAAUUAAGGAUCUCCUUAUUGCUGUGUUAUCCUGUGUAACACAUCUUUGCCAAAGAUCAGUUUUAUAUUUAGGCAACUGAUGGUCCUUUUGCAUUUAGGUUUUUUGUUGUUGUUACCAUAUACCUCAUAGCAUAAGAAAUGGGCUCAUGUGUCUUUCAUCCUUUGGAAUGAGCUUGACAUAUUUUGAAUAAAUGCUUUUAAAUACAGUAGCAAACAUUGUAUUGGUGGGGUUAUACUAAUUAA